rnacentral:misc_RNA from 1 species
AAGUCGUAACAAGGUUUCCGUAGGUGAACCUGCGGAAGGAUCAUUACUGAUUUGGCGGACCGAGCGUCAGCGAGGUUCCGCGAUCACCUGUAUUUAAAACCCACACUUUGAAUGUAAUAUGUAUAUUUUUGUAUUUUUAAUAAUAAAAGAUCACUUUCAACAACGGAUCUCUUGGCUCUC